rnacentral:lncRNA from 1 species
ACUGCAAGUCAGCCUCAGCACCAGCACUCAGUACUCAUCAGCUGGACAAAGAGCUUCUCUGAGUUUCAGUUUCCAGAUCUGCAAAAUAGGUGUAACAAUCCCUGUGUCUGAGCAUCUGCAGGGAGAUCAAAUUCUCGUCUCUGGAACAUGACAGCUUCCAAAUCUGAGCCAUCCUGUCACUUCUCUUGGGUCAAUUGGGGUUUCCACGAUGUCACCCCAUCAGACUGUCACUAACAUGGCCUGAGAGCCCUGGGCUCGGGGACUGCCAGCAUGGUAGGUUUCCCUCCCCGUACUCCUGCCGUUACUUCCCUGAUGAGACCAUCCCCCAGAGAAGGGAAAGGAGGGCAGUUUCGUUCAUUUAGUGCAGAGCCUGGGAGGUGGGAGGAGCCUGGGCUAGCUUCAUUUUUUUGAGGUUCUUGGUAUGCUACAGAUGAGAAGGUUGCAGUGAUUGUGGUAUAAUUUCAGUGUUCUCACAACAAAUUAGAACACAGCAUACUUGUGGUGUUGACAGGACAACUGCAGAACUCAGUACAUUUCCUGGGGAGUUCUGAGUGGUGCAGUCUUAGGGCAGGAUACAAGCUUUGGGUCUCAGGAUGGCUGUCCACUUCUGCUGGAUCUGGGGUGCACCCUUACAGUCUGAAUUUCUAGAAAAAGGCAUAAUCAAACCCCCUGCAGAACUUUCACGGGAUCCCAUUCAAAUAAAACAGGGUGGAGGGACACGUUGAGAUGUUUGGAAAUAUCUGAAUAAGGGUGGGAUAUGGGGUUAUUUUAGGGAAUUCAUUGUUCAUAGGGAAUUCACUGUUCAUUGUCCCAGCCGUGAUAGCAUGGAAGAACAGCCCAAAGGGUCAUAAGAUAGUUCAGGAAAGAGCUUUACAAGUCAAAGUGACAGAGCAGCAGGUCCCCAACACUUUUGACACCAGGGACCAGGUUUAGUGGAAGACAAUUUCUCCAUGGACUGGAAUCAGGCUGGGGGUGGUUUUGAGAUGAUUCAAGCACAUUACAUUUAUUGUGCACUUUAAUUCUAUUAUUAUUAACUUGUAAUAUAUAAUGAAAUAUUAUACAACUCACCAUAAUGUAGAUCAGUGGGAGCCCUGAGCUUGUUUUCCUGCAACUAGACAGUCCCAUCUGGAGGUGAUGGAAGACAGUGACAGAUCAUCAGGCAUUAGAUUCUCAUAAGGAGCACGGAACCUAGAUCCCUCGCACACACAGUUCACGGUACGGCUCACGCUCCUAUGAGAAUUCAGUGCUGCUGCUGAUGUGACAGGAGGUGGAGCUUAGGUGGUAACGUGAGCAAUGGGGAGCAGCUGUAAAUACAGAUGAGGCUUCACUCGCUCACCAGCCUGCUCCGUGAGGUUGGGGACCCGUCAGAUACAGCAUUUAUGACCACAUGAUAACCACAGCUGAAUCCAGGUGGUGGGAUACACAGCUGCUUCAUUGUACCAAUCUCAACUUUUUCAUGUAUUUGAAAUUUUUCAUUAGAAGAGAGUAAAUUUUUUGG